rnacentral:rRNA from 1 species
AGAGUUUGAUCCUGGCUCAGAAUCAACGCUGGCGGCGCGCUUAACACAUGCAAGUCGAACGAGAAAGGGAGCAAUCCUGAGUAAAGUGGCGUACUGGUGAGUAACACGUGGAUAUCUACCUCUUGGUGGGGAAUAACCUGGGGAAACCUGGGCUAAUACCGCAUAAGUUCGUGAGAAGAAAGGCGCAAGUCGCCGAGAGAGGAGUCCGCGGUCGAUUAGGUAGUUGGCAGGGUAAAAGCCUACCAAGCCGAAGAUCGAUAGCCGGCCUGAGAGGGCACACGGCCACACUGGCACUGAAACACGGGCCAGACUCCUACGGGAGGCAGCAGUGGGGAAUCUUGCACAAUGGGGGAAACCCUGAUGCAGCGACGCCGCGUGAGCGAUGAAGCCCUUCGGGGUGUAAAGCUCUUUCGGCAGGAACGAUAAUGACGGUACCUGCAGAAGAAGCUGCGGCUAACUACGUGCCAGCAGCCGCGGUAAUACGUAGGCAGCAAGCGUUGUUCGGAAUUACUGGGCGUAAAGAGUGUGUAGGUGGUGUCGUAAGUUUGGUGUGAAAUCUCCCGGCUUAACUGGGA